rnacentral:misc_RNA from 1 species
GCCGGCGCCGGAUUUUUUCUAUUUCUGACUUCGAACUUCAAUUGGUAGAUAGUAGAAGACGUUGUAGAGAGAGAAAAAAAGAAGCAAAAUCCGAUGAUGGGAAGCGAUUCAACAUGGGUAGGAAGAAAACCCAUGAGACGACUUGGUGGAAUGUCUGAUGCUCUCUCUAUUGCUGCUGAAUUGGGCUUUUCUGUUCCUCCUCCUCCUUCUCAGGAGGAGAUCCAAAACUUAUCCACCACCACUGGCGAAAAUGGUGAUGAUUUGAUCAGGGUCUUGAAGGAACUUACUGCUGUUCAAAGGAAGAUUGCAGAUUUACAAGUGGAACUUCA